AUUGAACGCUGGCGGCAGGCCUAACACAUGCAAGUCGAACGGCAGCACAGUAUGAGCUUGCGCUUACGGGUGCAGAGUGGCGGACGAGGGAGGAAUACGUCGGAAUCUACGGGUUAGUGGGGGAUAACGUAGGGAAACAUACGAUAAUAGCGCAGACGACGAACGGGGGAAAGCAGGGGAUCUUCCGACCUUGGCCGAGUGAAUGAGCCGAUGUCGGAUUAGCUAGUUGGUGGGGUAAAGGCUCACCAAGGCGACGAUCCGUAGCUGGUCUGAGAGGAUGAUCAGCCACACUGGAACUGAGACACGGCCCAGACUCCUACGGGAGGCAGCAGUGGGGAAUUUUGGACAAUGGGCGCAAGCCUGAUCCAGCCAUGCCGCGUGCGUGAAGAAGGCCUUCGGGUUGUAAAGCCCUUUUGUUGGGAAAGAAAAGCAGCCGGUUAAUACCCCGCUGUUAUGACGGUACCGAAAGAAUAAGCACCGGCUAACUACGUG
rnacentral:rRNA from 1 species